GGUGAUGAAUACAAUAAUUGCAAUUAUUACAUACACUUUAACAGUUUUCUGGUUGAUAAAGCUUGCACUUUCAUCCAUAGUUGCUCUAGAAUAUGGUCUUUGGCUUUGCACCAUGGUUAUGUAACAGCCACUAAAUACAGGUUUGAGGGCUCCCUAAACUGUGAAAUAAGGACAGAAAAAAAUUUGCAGGUUUAAUGGCCAUUAUUGGCCGUUAAGUAAUGGAUAACGGCUGUUACUCAUGUGGGAUGCUUUUAUUUUUGAGCAGAGGGGCAGCAGCUUAUUUCCUUUUGGUUUAUAGGGUUAUUCUUCUGUUCUUCUCAACUUUCUAUCUCAAAUUUUGAUCUUUUACAAAUUUCACUUUUUGAGCUAAGAUCACCAAUAGUGAAAGUUUAUUUGAUGUGAAGGUGAGCAAUUAAUCACACUUCUACAUUCAUAUUUUGCAAAUGGUGAGUUAUUUUGUCUUUGUUUUUGGUGGUUUUGCUUAUUUAUUGGAGAAAAUUAUAAUUUAUAUUAGGUUGUUUAUGAAAAUUAUAGUAUGAAACGUUAGUUUGCCCAAUCUGUAGGUUAUUGUGUGUGUGUUUUGAAUUAUUUUUGGAAUUAUUUUUAGUAAAAUACAUAAUUAAUUGAAAAAUAAUGUCAAAGAUGUUUAAGAAUGAUGGAUUGAAUGUCUUUAAUUAAUGUAUUUAUGCUUAUUAUUUAGUUGU
rnacentral:misc_RNA from 1 species